GGGCGUUGAGGCUACCAUGCAGUCGAGCGGAUGACGGGAGCUUGCUCCUUGAUUCAGCGGCGGACGGGUGAGUAAUGCCUAGGAAUCUGCCUGGUAGUGGGGGACAACGUUUCGAAAGGAACGCUAAUACCGCAUACGUCCUACGGGAGAAAGCAGGGGACCUUCGGGCCUUGCGCUAUCAGAUGAGCCUAGGUCGGAUUAGCUAGUUGGUGAGGUAAUGGCUCACCAAGGCGACGAUCCGUAACUGGUCUGAGAGGAUGAUCAGUCACACUGGAACUGAGACACGGUCCAGACUCCUACGGGAGGCAGCAGUGGGGAAUAUUGGACAAUGGGCGAAAGCCUGAUCCAGCCAUGCCGCGUGUGUGAAGAAGGUCUUCGGAUUGUAAAGCACUUUAAGUUGGGAGGAAGGGCAGUAAGUUAAUACCUUGCUGUUUUGACGUUACCGACAGAAUAAGCACCGGCUAACUCUGUGCCAGCCGCCGCGGUAAUA
rnacentral:rRNA from 1 species